GCGGCGUGCUUAACACAUGCAAGUCGAACGGGNUUANGCGGNAAGUUUACUUUUUGCUUAAUUUAGUGGCGGACGGGUGAGUAACGCGUGGAUAACCUGCCUAUUAGCCCGGGAUAACGCCUGGAAACGGGUGCUAAUACCGGAUACGCUCAUUUGGCUGCCUAGCCGGAUGAGGAAAGGAAUUCCGCUAACAGAUGGGUCCGCGUCCCAUUAGCUUGUUGGUAGGGUAACGGCCUACCAAGGCGACGAUGGGUAGCCGGCCUGAGAGGGCGACCGGCCACACUGGAACUGAGACACGGUCCAGACUCCUACGGGAGGCAGCAGUGGGGAAUCUUCCGCAAUGGGCGCAAGCCUGACGGAGCAACGCCGCGUGAGUGAAGAAGGCCUUCGGGUUGUAAAGCUCUGUCCAGGGGGAAGAAGAAUGUGACGGUACCCCUGGAGGAAGCCCCGGUUAACUACNUGCCANCAGCCGCGGUAAAACGUAGGGGGCGAGCGUUGUCCGGAAUU
rnacentral:rRNA from 1 species